GAUGAACGCUGACAGAAUGCUUAACACAUGCAAGUCUUUGGCGAAGCUGUGCUUGCACAGCCUAGCCAAGGCGGACGGGUGAGUAACGCGUAAGGAACUUGCCCUGCAGUCAGGGAUAACAGACGGAAACGACUGAUAAGACCUGGUAAAGUCAGGCGGACUCAUGUCCAGCCUGAUGAAAAGAGAUGCUGCAGGAGAGCCUUGCGUCCUAUUAGCUUGUUGGUGGGGUAACGGCCCACCAAGGCUAUGAUAGGUAGCCGGCCUGAGAGGGUGGACGGCCACAAGGGGACUGAGAUACGGCCCUUACUCCUACGGGAGGCAGCAGUGGGGAAUAUUGGACAAUGGGGGCAACCCUGAUCCAGCAAUUCUGUGUGCACGAUGAAGGUUUUCGGAUUGUAAAGUGCUUUCAGCAGGGAAGAAAAAAAUGACGGUACCUGCAGAAGAAGCGACGGCUAAAUACGUG
rnacentral:rRNA from 1 species